AAUCCAUAGGUUAAUGAGGCGAACCGGGGGAACUGAAACAUCUAAGUACCCCGAGGAAAAGAAAUCAACCGAGAUUCCCCCAGUAGCGGCGAGCGAACGGGGAGGAGCCCAGAGCCUGAAUCAGCAUGUGUGUUAGUGGAAGCGUCUGGAAAGGCGCGCGAUACAGGGUGACAGCCCCGUACACAAAAGCGCAUGUGCUGUGAGCUCGAUGAGUAGGGCGGGACACGUGGUAUCCUGUCUGAAUAUGGGGGGACCAUCCUCCAAGGCUAAAUACUCCUGACUGACCGAUAGUGAACCAGUACCGUGAGGGAAAGGCGAAAAGAACCCCGGCGAGGGGAGUGAAAAAGAACCUGAAACCGUGUACGUACAAGCAGUGGGAGCACAGGUUUACCUGUGUGACUGC
rnacentral:rRNA from 2 species